rnacentral:rRNA from 1 species
CCUUAGUUACCAGCACGUUAUGGUGGGCACUCUAAGGAGACUGCCGGUGACAAACCGGAGGAAGGUGGGGACGACGUCAAGUCAUCAUGGCCCUUAUGUCCUGGGCUACACACGUGCUACAAUGGCCGGUACAGAGCGCAGCGAGGCCGCGAGGCGGAGCGAAUCGCUUAAAGCCGGUCCCAGUACGGAUUGGAGUCUGCAACCCGACUCCAUGAAGUUGGAAUCGCUAGUAAUCGCGCAUCAGCAUGGCGCGGUGAAUACGUUCCCGGGCCUU